rnacentral:rRNA from 1 species
UACGGAGGGUGCAAGCGUUGUUCGGAAUUACUGGGCGUAAAGGGCACGUAGGCGGGUUUGUAAGUCAUCUGUGAAAGCCCAGAGCUCAACUCUGGAAUUGCAGGUGAAACUACAAAUCUUGAAUGUUAGAGAGGGUGGUGGAAUUCCUGGUGUAGAAGUGAAAUUCAUAGAUAUCAGGAGGAACAUCGGAGGCGAAAGCGGCCACCUGGCUAAACAUUGACGCUGAGGUGCGAAAGCGUGGGGAGCAAACAGG